UACGUAGGGUGCGAGCGUUGUCCGGAAUUACUGGGCGUAAAGAGCUCGUAGGUGGUUUGUCGCGUUGUUCGUGAAAACUCACAGCUUAACUGUGGGCGUGCGGGCGAUACGGGCAGACUGGAGUACUGCAGGGGAGACUGGAAUUCCUGGUGUAGCGGUGGAAUGCGCAGAUAUCAGGAGGAACACCGGUGGCGAAGGCGGGUCUCUGGGCAACAACUGACGCUGAGGAGCGAAAGCGUGGGGAGCGAAACAGG
rnacentral:rRNA from 1 species